GGGGAGAAAAAGGAAAAAAUAAAAUCUUUAAAAAAAAAAAUUAUAAAAAAAAGUGAGUAAGCUAUAAAUCCCCCACGGUCGUAGGGACCAUAUUUUUCUAAGUUCAGAGCAGGGGGAUGAUCUGAGGAAUUUGGGAGAGCCAGAGAAAACUGUCCCCGAAAAUCAGGGAUGUUGAAUCACCAAGGCUAAAAGAAAGAGCAUUCAGUUACAAAUCCGAGAGCAGCUCUAGGUCCUGCCAAGUGAGUCCUCCGUGGCUGCAGACAGCACAAUCCUUCACCCACACCGUGAACUCCCCAGAGCCUCAGGCGUCCGUGCCUUCCUUCUUUAAGACGCAGCCAGUCAGGAUCUCCUCCCCUGCUUCUGGGGGGAGGGGCCGUGGAGGCUAGCCCUAGCCAGCCUUCUGAGUGACAAGCCAGCAGCCAUAUUAGAGUGUGGGGACCGGCUGUGGAAGGCUGUUUGAUCAGAGUGGAAUUAUAGCAGUUCAUUUUCUAAAGUGCCGGGAGACCCGGGGAUGAACCUGCAGGGAGAAGGGAAAACCACAAGUGCAGCACCUCACAGAGAUGCAAUUCAUCACCGGCAUGACAGAGAGAAGUUGGACACUUCAGCGUGCCCCCUGCCGUCCCAAGGUCUGCACCAGCCUCCUCUCUCCAGGGCCUUCUCUUCCCUGCACACGCAGAGCUGCAGGAAGAUUCCUGAGGAAGGGAGGCGCUUCUCUACUCCGCCCAGUUCCACAUCUGUGGCCUCUUGAACUCGUCCCCAGGCUCUCUCCUGCUUCUCACUAGUGCUCCCAUGGUGCCACCUUGGUCCCCGAAUCUUCCUUGCACCGUCACACCAGCUGCAGCUCCUGUCAUGUACACACACUGCCACAGUACUCACCACCCUUUGUUGUAACUGCCUGAGUAUCUAUCUGUCUGCUGAGGCAUGUGUGGAAAAUGUCACAGAUUCACAGGGCAGGUAGGAACCCCACAAACUCUCUUAGCCCAGCCUGCUCAUUUCCUGGUAGAUUCAGUCAUUUUCUUUGAAGAACUUACAAUGCAAGUUGCACAUCUGCAACUUCCUACCAUCACACACUGUAUGUCUCAUAAUCCUCCAACCUCCAAAAUCUCUUAAUAUUCAGCCUUAAGUCAUAUCAUUUCAAAAGAACACCAUUAUUCGGGAAUAAAGGUAUUUUGUAGUGUUGAA